UGAGUUUGAUCCUGGCUCAGAAUGAACGCUGGCGGUAGGCCUUACACAUGCAAGUCGAACGGAGGGAAAGCUGUUGGUAUAAACCAACUGGAUCUAACUUCGUGGCGAACGGGUGAGUAACGCGUGAGAAUCUGCCUUCUACUACGGUGGAAAAGAGGUGGCCAACUCUGUUGACCAAUGCUCUUGAAUCCCGUAUAAAACCAAAAAAAGACAUAACAGUCGGUAGAAGAUGAGCUCUCGUAGGAUUAGGUAGUUGGUGAGUUAAAAGCUCACCAAGCCAAAGAUCCUUAGUCGGUCUGAGAGGAUGAUCGGCCACACUGGGACUGAGACACGGCCCAGACGCUUUCGAGCGGCAGCAGUGAGGAAUCUUGGACAAUGGGCGAAAGCUUGAUCCAGCCAUACCGCGUGAGGGAUGAAGGCUAAAUGGGUUGUAAACCUCUGACCUGAGUCUAGAUUGUGACAUGGAUUCAGGGAAAAGUCCCGGCUAAUAAUAUUGGCCCCUGGGGAGGUGACCUCCCAGGAGAACUUGGCUCAUAACGGUGAAACCCUAACGAAGUAGCGGUAGGGAGACCUUCUUCGAUCAAUACGUCGAUCAGUGAUAUUAAUCAAGAAGGAGAGAUCCCUGGGUGGUGCUCAUAACCAAUGAGUGCCCCCCUCAGGCGAGGGCAAUACCGUGGGAAGUCUACGUAGUGAAAACAGAUUGGAAAGAAUUAGAAGUUAUGCUAGGUAAUAAUAUUAUAUCUGUUACUAAGGUUUAAGACGGCAUGAUUGCUGGGAGCCUUCUUAACGAUGCCCAUUUGCAGAAGACCAGGGCAAGCACACAGCGCUGUCGGUUGCGAAUACGUGACAGCGCGGCACAGAGACAAUAUGUAGACUGGAAGCACAGCGUUCAUAUAAACCCGUUUUGCGCCAACACCCGAUUGUCUCAUGAAACGUCAAGACCUGGCGAAUAUCAAUUUUAUACCAUGUAUACAGACAGCUUCUCUUCUUACCAUUCCACCUGGUACAUUAGGAGAGAAACAUCAAAAUUCCUGAAAGUUGUUCCAAGCAAUAUACAGGACCUCCUUACAAAUCCAAUCUCGUUGGCUGUUUGGUACCUAGAUGACGGCUCAAAAGGAAAAGAUUAUGAGGUGUGUCGAUUGGCAACCAUGAGGUUCUCGCAUCAAGAGAAGACUGAGCUUGUAAAGUGCCGACGGGCUAAUUUGGGCUUAGAGCCCAAGACCGAGGCCGUAUACCCCUAACAGGGGUAGGAGGUCCACUCUAAGGGUUUUCCUUCCCGAGUAAGGCCUAUGGAUACAAGAGACUCAAAUCAUUGAUAUAUCCUUUUAUCGAAGCCGAGAUACCAAACAUGCUUUUUAAGCUGCAAUGACCCCGUAACGACUGAGGAAAUAGAGUGAUGGCGCAUAAAAGGUAAACUUUAUUACUUUUCAGGAAUGAAAGAAACUUUUCUCUAAAAAGAGGAAAUCUUUAUGCGCCAUCUCUCCAGAAUACAAGAUGGUUACCUUUUAUCUCCCUUUUACUUGUUUUUACUAAAAAAAACCACUAAUUAUGCUUGUAAUGGGUUAGACAUAUGUAAAUGGUAACCAUAACACGCCGAGCUCUUGGUUUCAUUGCCAAGAUGAUGGUAUAGUCUGUGCCCCAAGAAACUGGGGAAGAACAUGAACUCCGUGCCAGCAGCCGCGGUAAUACGGGGGGGGCAAGCGUUAUUCGGAAUUACUGGGCGUAAAGGGCAUGUAGGCUGCCAAUCGCCACCCCUGCUUGAACAAAUUUGUAAGUCUUAUCCCGACAUUACAUGUGCAGUGAUGCAGACGAUGUAAAUAAUGCAGAUGCAUGAUCUGUAUCCUUUAUCUUAUUAAAGGUUCAACAUGAACCUCAAGAGCUCUCCAUAUAAAAAAAUGGUGGGUUUUGGCAAAUUCCUGGGCCCACCCGAGGGUUGCCAAGGGGUAUUAACCUUUCUCAGUAAGAGAUUGGUUUUUUUGGGUUUGGCUGGAGUAAGCUAGAGGGGAGUGGAAUUCCUGGAGUAGGGGUGAAAUCUGUAGAUACCAGGAGGAAGGCCGAAUGCGAAGGCAUCUCCCUAGGGCUUAACUGACGCUGAGGUGCGAAAGCGUGGGUAUCAAAGAGGAUUAGAGACCCUUGUAGUCCACGCCCUCAACCAUGAGAAUUCAUUAUCAGGCAAUUACAACCUAACGAAAAUCCGUCUAAAUCUGUGAUUUUGCUUGGUGAUCUAGCUAACGCGUUAAAUUCUCCGCCUGAGGAGUACAGCCGCAAGGCUAAAACUCAAAGGAAUAGACGGGGGCUCAUACAAGUGGUGGAACAUGUGGUUUAAUUCGAAACAACGCGCAGAACCUUACCAGCCCUUGACAUUAAUUCGAUCUUGACCUUUAUCGGACAAGAAAACAAUUAACAGGCGUUGCAUGGCUGUCGUCAGCUCGUGUCGUAAGAUGUUUGGUUAGUUCCUUUAACGAGCGCAACCCUCAUGAGAUCUUGCCAGCAAUUCCUUCAGGUUUGGGAGUCUUAAGACAGAAAUGCCUAUAAAACACCUUUCACAUUUUUAUGGAGAAACAAACCAAGAGAUGAAUUGCUACUGUUCUCAAACUGCCUGUGAUAUACAGGAGGAAGGUGAGGAUGACGUCAAGUCGUCAUGACCCUUAUGGGCUGGGCUACACACGUGUUACAAUGGCAACCACAAAAGGAAGCAAUGGUGCAAGCCGGAGCAAAUCCUAAAAAAGUUGCCCUAGUUCGGAUUGCUCUCUGCAACUCGAGAGCAUGAAGUUGGAAUCACUAGUAAUCGUGGAUCAGCACGCCACGGUGAAUCUGUACCUGGGCCUUGUACUCCCCGCCCGUCACGCUCCGGGAGUCGAGUGGCUUAGAAGUCCCAUCAACCUUCUUCUCAUGUUGCUCUUGCAUUGCCAAACAAUGCACGACCGUGCCCCUGUGAUACGCCGUGGUGAGGCUCUCAUUGCGGAAGAGAUGAGUUACACGAGAAAAGACAUUGAGUGACCAAGAACUGUUUGGCAACUGGAGCGAAGUCGUAACAAGGUAGCCGUAGGGGAACCUGCGGCUGGAUUGACU